GGUGAGCAGGGGUGUGUGAGGGCAGUUGGUUUCAGGUCGUCUACACGACUGAAUUGCGGUCUACGAACUUUAAUAAGAGUCAUAAUGAAGUUACAAGACGCAGUGAGUUACUGCUGCUGCUGCUAUUGUGAGAUUAAUGCAGUGUGUUAAGACUAUCAGAGUCUAGUGUGAAACUGCAGCUAAUGUUAAGCUAAUAGCCGCUCUAACGUCGGGCUAGCAUGUUGGCUUUGGUCUUCAUUUGCUUUGAUGCUAACAGCAACGCUAUCGAUACGAAAGUGUUAGUAGACUUUGGACUUUAUUAGCCUGGGUGCUAACCGUCAGCUAGCGCUCCAACCCGACCUUGGCCGAGAGGAAACCAGACAGCGCACUGGGUGACCAGGUAAAGCCCAGCUGCACCUCUGGCACCGAGGGAAGAGAGACUUUUCUUCAUAUAAAUGAGGACUGCUGUGAGGAGCCGCUUCUUACCUUGGCGUGAGGACCGCCGUUACUUAAGUGAGGAGCCGAUGUAAAGAUCAGUAAGCAUAGGGGUAAACUGUCUGGACCUCUGAGGGCUGUAAGGAGUUGGAUUUAAUCCAGGGCAACAAAAACAUGCAAAGACGGUAGCAGGUGGACUGGUGUUUACAUGGACUGUGGGAGCAAUGGGAGAGUAUUCAGUGUCAAUGGAUGACAUCUAGGAAGAAGAGGAACAUCACAAGACCACCUGAAGGAGCAUCUUCUCUGUGCUGAAGCUCUGAUGUAGGAAAUGUAUUCUCUGUAUCAUCAGCUGCUGUGUUUCAUGUUGAAUAUUGAAAACAUAAUAAAUAUUUUAAAUUGAGGGGUUUCUUCAUUAAAAAAAAGAUAUGAGGGAGAGAGAUUAGGAGUUGCCAUAGACCCAAAGUCACAAUAUUUCCAAAGAAAAUUCUCCACAGUAUUGAUUGGAAUAAUCUUCUGUGCUCUUCUGUCAAUUUGUAUUUGUCACGUGUUAUUAAAUAAAG